rnacentral:lncRNA from 1 species
UGUGUUAUCGACCCAUAUUCCUGGUCCUGUGUUUUAUCCGACCCAUAUUGUCCUUUUGCUUGUUUAUCUGACCCCAUAUCUCCUGGUCCCUGUGUUAUCCGACCCAUAUUGUCCUGGGUGCUUGUGUUAUCCGACCCAUAUCUCCUGGUUCUUGUGUUAUCCGACCCAUAUCUCCCGGUCCUUGUGUUAUCCGACCCAUAUCUCCCGGUCCUUGUGUUAUCCGACCCAUAUCUCCUGGUCCUUGUGUUAUCCGACCCAUAUCUCCUGGACCUUGUGUUAUCCGACCCGUGUAUUUCUGGAAUGUUGGCACAAAACAGGUUCUUGAUUUCAGGCUAGUUUUUUGGGGCAUUAACACACUUUGAGCUGUUGCUACGGUAACUUAUCUUUUGGCUCAGAUUCAUCAGACUCAACCUGACAAUGGACUUUCAUAAUAGUGACUAUCAUAUCUUAUAUCAUAUCGUUGCAUAUUACACCACUCUGUGAAAAUUAUAUCUGAACUGGGGUCAGUGUCCUGCAAACAAAACAAAUAAAGGUCCCAUGUUCGCAUCGUCUACUUUAGAUGGAGAUACCGCAUCACGUUCUGUCUUACAAUCAAUAAUAACUGAUAGAUUUGUCUGUAUUUCCAUAAAUCUCAAAUGAAAGGUAAACGCACUCAACUUGUGCCAAAACGCUAUAUUAGCUUUGUAUUACGGGUAGUGACGUAUCGUAAGCUUCAUAAGGGUCUCUUUUCAGACGUGUGUAGCCUGUGGUAAACUAACUGUGUGACUGAUGUGUUCAUUUAUUUUCCCAACCUUCUGAUUUGGUUCACUAUGUCCUGUUGAAGAGAACUGUUUAUUUAUAUUUCGGUGUUUGUUUAUCUCUGAAAUAAAUGUCUCUGAGACGUAGGAAUUCAUUGUAGUUGUUGAAGUGUGUGAUUGAGUCCCGGCCUUAGAAAUUGAUAAAUCAAUCUGAUCGCUGGGUUGUCGACAAUGCAGAUUUUAGUGUUAAUGUUCUGCAAACGUCGGCUCAAUCAGUUUGAAUCCCAGAGAAAGUUUACAAGUCUGUGGAAAAUAUUUAUUUGUUCUGUUAAAGGUCCAAUAAAGUCAUUUUUGUCUCAACGUCAAAUAAUUUCUGGGUAACAAUUAAGUACCUUACUGUGAUUGUUUUCAAUUAAAAUGGUAAAACAA